GUCCUUUUGAUUAUAAUUUAAGGUCUAGCCUGCCCACUGAUUUAUUAAAUGGCCGCGGUAUUUUGACCGUGCAAAGGUAGCAUAAUCAUUAGUUUUUUAAUUGAAAGCUAGAAUGAAUGGUUGAAUAAGAAAAAUUCUGUCUCAAUUUAGAUUUAUUAGAAUUUUAUUUUUAAGUGAAAAAGCUUAGAUAUGAUUUAAAGACGAGAAGACCCUAUAGAGUUUUAUAAAAGAUUUUUAUAAAAAUUUAAGUUUAUAUUUUUUUUGUAUUUAUUUUUUAUUUGAUUGGGGUGAUUUAAAAAUUAAAUAAACUUUUUUAUUUUUUUACAUUAAUAUAUGAUUAGUUGAUCCAUUUUUAUGAUUAAAAGAUAAAAUUACCUUAGGGAUAACAGCGUAAUUUUUUUUGAGAGUUCUUAUCGAAAAAAGAGAUUGCGACCUCGAUGUUGGAUUAAAAUAAAUAUUUGGUGUAGAAGCUAAAUUAUUAAGUCUGUUCGACUUUUAAAAUUUUACA
rnacentral:rRNA from 1 species